rnacentral:misc_RNA from 1 species
GAUGAAGAACGCAGCGAAAUGCGAUAAGUAAUGUGAAUUGCAGAAUUCAGUGAAUCAUCGAAUCUUUGAACGCACAUUGCGCCCGCCAGUAUUCUGGCGGGCAUGCCUGUUCGAGCGUCAUUUCAACCAUCAAGCCCCAGGCUUGUGUUGGGACCUGCGGCUGCCGCAGGCCCUGAAAACCAGUGGCGGGCUCGCUGUCACACCGGGCGUAGUAGAUUUUAUCUCGCUCAGGGCGUGCUGCGGGUUCCGGCCGUUAAAAAGCCUUUUUUACCCAAGGUUGACCUCGGAUCAGGUAGGAAGACCCGCUGAACUUAAGCAUAUCAAUAAGCGGAGGA